rnacentral:rRNA from 1 species
UACGAAGGGGCUAGCGUUGCUCGGAAUCACUGGGCGUAAAGCGCACGUAGGCGGAUUGUUAAGUCAGGGGUGAAAUCCUGGAGCUCAACUCCAGAACUGCCUUGAUACUGGCGAUCUUGAGUCCGGGAGAGGUGAGUGGAACUGCGAGUGUAGAGGUGAAAUUCGUAGAUAUUCGCAAGAACACCAGUGGCGAAGGCGGCUCACUGGCCCGGUACUGACGCUGAGGCACGAAAGCGUGGGGAGCGAA